CAAACUACAAUUCCCAUGAGGACAAGGGCUUGGUCCCCAGGCUUCCCUGGUGACCAAUAGGAGGUGGCCCAACGGCCGCUGUGUAGGUGAGAGUACAGACUUGGGUCGGAGCGCGGGGCCUAGGCGGGCUAGCGCGAGACGCGGAGUGGAGAAGACACUUCUACUGCGUGGGGCGCGGUGAGGGCACUCGAGCCCUGGACCUGCCGCGCCCGCUCGAUUUUCCGCGGCUGUUUAAGGAGUAGCGCUUCGGUAGCCGGGGAGCUGGAGGUCAGAGAGGCAGAAAGCCCGAUGGCUGUGGCUGGGGACUGUGGGACUGAAGGGUCUAAAAGGAGGGUGCUUCCGGGGCCCGUGUCUUCAGUGCCUAACUCCGCCCAGCUCCGCCUCUGCAGGGGAGGGGGUGUCGGCACCGGGAGGAGGGGGUGAGGAUCAGUAACCUCAAGUCUCGGGAGCGCACCCGCGCUCUUUCCUCCAACUUGCCUGUUUUCUUUGUCCAUCACAAAGCGGUCCGGGUCCCGCUCCCACCCCGCCACCCUGGUUUUUGCCUCUCAAGAGGACCAAAGUUAGGGUUCGUGACAGGGUCUUCCCUAGGCGGCGUCUAGACUCUUUCGUACUGCUUACAGGAGUUGAGUGACCGCUUGCCUGAAUUGCAGUUCAAGUUCGGGCAUCCACCCCUCCCAAUGCAAACAUUCCCCAUUUUCUCUGGGGGUGUGGAAAUUCUUUGCCAUGCCCGGGACGUGACUUUCUGUCAAAUUUCUCUUUCUACCUCAGUGGUGGGAUUAAAAAAAGAUCCCCAUGUCUUUACCGACCCUUCCAGCCACCCACCCCUUCCCUAACCAGGACUUUGGAGUGGAAAGGGUUUCCCUUCAGUAUCCAGAAGGGACAGGGAACUGACGUCGGAAGGAAUCUUGCUUUAAAGAAAUAAUGUGUUGAAUGUUCAGUGCAGUAUUCCUGGGAGACUGAAAGGCAAAUUAGACCUAUUUAAAAACCCCAGGGGUUUAGAGAUUUCCAGCAAAGACCGAUAUCACUAAUGUUGAUGAACAUUUAGGGGCACACAAACUUCAGAAUAGAGUGACUGUGUGAAACAGACUGUAUUCAUUAUUGUAUUGUUACAAACGCAAAAAGUGCUGAGGGGCUAGUGAAAGGACAUACUGAUAGGGGUUGUGGGGUUAAUUUAUGGGAGUUGAAGCCUAACCCAGGAAAUGCUGAAACCUUGAAACUCAACUGUCUUUCAGAACAAUCUUGGUAGGCUUUUUGAAGGAGGUUAAUUUUAAUUUGGGCUUCAAAGGAGAAAAGGGGAUUUGAAAUGAGCAGAGGGGAGAGAAAAUGCUUCCUGCUACUGGGGUUGGAGUUUAAGAAAAAGGGAUAGAAGAGGGGUCUUUGUGUGACAGGUGGGCUUGCCAGAUUGAAGUAAGAGGUGUCAGCAGGAAUAUAUUGGGAAAUAGUGUUGAAAAACUUGGGAUCAUAAUAACAUGGCACUUUGAAGAAUCCACAUAGUUUGGAUAUUAUUCUGUAUCAAAUAAAAUUAAAGACAAAAAAACUAAGAUUGGGUGAUUUUUCUUUUCAUCCUAGGGGAACCUGAUUUGAAAUCAAUUCUUGAAGAACACAAAGAAGUGUGGUGGUAUGUUCCAGGUGUGAGUUUAAUUUAAAUCUAAGAAGAAGCUUGUCUUAGAGACAUUUUGUUGGUGGCUAUUCUUAGCUACAAUCUGUAGUUCUCAAUUUGAAAGCCGGGUGACAUAAAUUUAUUUUCUUAAG
rnacentral:lncRNA from 1 species